UAAAAUAUUUCUUAGGAAAAUAUUACGUGUUCGUCAUAUAUAUAUAUAUAUAUAUAGAGUUGAACUAGAAUACUAUCGGUAGUAAACGAGCCGUUUUACUACCGAUUUGUUUUCGAUGAUAGAGCUUCCAAAUUGACGAUCGGCUCCGUUAAAUAUGAUCUAAACCAUUUAAACUACCUAGAAAUCAAAUUUCACGCACUUUCGAUAUUGUUCUUUUAUCCAUCAAGUGAACAGAAAAAUGAAUGGCUAAAAAUGAAUACUCUUUAAAAAAUGAUGAUAGGAGUCUUGUAAUCAAGAUCAAGAGUAUAGAUCUUGUUUUAAAUAGUUUAAAGAAUUUUCUAACAAAAAAAUUCAAUUGAUUUGGAUAUCUUUACGCCGUUAAACGAGAAAACGUCUCUUAUCGACCAUUAAAAUUAUAAAUUUUGAAACCCUUUGAUCAUUAGGCAAAUGAUGUCGAAAAGAUUUGAAAUUUGAUUUCUAAACACUUCAAGUGGUAUAGAUCAUGUUCAACGGAGCCGAUCUUCAAUUUGGAAGCUCUAUCAUCGAAAACAAAUCGGUAGUAAAACGGCUCGUUUACUACCGAUAGUAUUCUAGCAAAACUCUAUAUAUACUACCGAUAGUAUUCUAGCUCAACACUAUUCAAAGUAUUUGGAAACUAAAUUUUAGAUUUUUUCGACAUCAUUUGACUAGUGAUCAAAAGAUCUCAAAAUUGACAAUUUUAACGGCCGAUGUGGUGUGUUUGUGAGUUUAACGGUGUAAAACAAUCCAAAUGCGACGAAAAUUUUAUAGAAAAUUCUUUUCACUAUUUAGAGUAAGAUCAGUAUAUCUGAUCUUGAAAUUAAAUCUUUUAUCAUCAUUUUUCAUGAGAUUUUAUUUUCAGCCGUUCAAUUUUAGACUACUUAUUUAAUAGAUAAAUGAUAUCGAAAAAUUAUGAAAUUUAGUUUCUAAAUACUUUCAAUAGUGUAGAUCAAGUCUAACGGAGCCGAUCGUCGAUUCGGAAGCCGUAUCAUCGAAAACAACUUGGUAGUACGGAGCGUUCCGUGCUACCGAUAGUAUAGUAGUCUAUAUAUAUAUAUAUAUAUAUAUAAAACUAGGUUACUAUGCUAUUAAUAGCACCAAGUCAUUGGUGCUAGUCGGGGCAGGAGGCGGGGCGGGGCUCCCGCCCCCAGAUCCACCCCGUUUGCAUCCCUAGGCAUACAUCUUACAGUCUUAGAUCCUAAAAUUUAGAAAAUAUUUUUAAAUUUUUA
rnacentral:lncRNA from 1 species